UACGUAGGGGGCAAGCGUUGUCCGGAAUCAUUGGGCGUAAAGAGCGUGUAGGCGGUCCGGUAAGUCCGUUGUGAAAGUCAGGGGCUCAACCCUUGAAUGCCGGCGGAUACUGUCGGGCUAGAGUCCGGAAGAGGCGAGUGGAAUUCCCGGUGUAGCGGUGAAAUGCGCAGAUAUCGGGAGGAACACCUAUGGCGAAGGCAGCUCGCUGGGACGGUACUGACGCUGAGACGCGAAAGCGUGGGGAGCAAACAGG
rnacentral:rRNA from 1 species